rnacentral:rRNA from 1 species
UGGGUACUGCGGAGACAUUACUGAUUUGCUUAAUUGCACCACAUGUGUUUUUUAUUGAACAAAUUUCUUUGGUGGCGGGAGCAAUCCUACCGCCAGAGGUUAUAACUAAACCAAACUUUUUAUUUACAGUCAAACUUGAUUUAUUAUUACAAUAGUCAAAACUUUCAACAACGGAUCUCUUGGUUCUCGCAUCGAUGAAGAACGCAGCGAAAUGCGAUACGUAAUAUGAAUUGCAGAUAUUCGUGAAUCAUCGAAUCUUUGAACGCACAUUGCGCCCUUUGGUAUUCCAAAGGGCAUGCCUGUUUGAGCGUCAUUUCUCCCUCAAACCCCCGGGUUUGGUGUUGAGCAAUACGCUAGGUUUGUUUGAAAGAAUUUAACGUGGAAACUUAUUUUAAGCGACUUAGGUUUAUCCAAAAACGCUUAUUUUGCUAGUGGCCACCACAAUUUAUUUCAUAACUUUGACCUCAAAUCAGGUAGGACUACCCGCUGAACUUAAGCAUAUCAAUAAGCGGGAGGAA